GUCUCCUCUUUUAACUGCAUCUCCUGGAAUCCUGAAGAGGUGACAGCACAGACAAUUUUUCCUUCAGAUCUUAUGAAUGGAAGUAGGUGGAGACAAGCAACUUGCAAGAUAAAAAAAAUGCAGAUGUUGAUAUCUUAUUAUGGUCAAGAAUUCAAGCUAACCAAGCAAAAUCUUACAGUAGAUCUUACAAUUCACAUUUUAAGAUGACCUCCCAUUAUGCACCGAGAAUAAAGAACAUGCAUUGUU